CAUUCGUGCUGUGUGCUGCAAUGCAUACACACACAGCUACAGUGCAGAGCAGUGCAUGCAUGUAGUACGGUAAUUGCUUAGCGCAGUGCUGUCGCGAGUCCAUCUAGUGAGUUAACGGUCCUUCCCGGUUUUUCUUGGAUUUAUACACGGAUAUCAGGUCAAGCUGGCGUGGUUAUCAGACGAAGAUGACGAAGCGUUGGACAGGCAGGUGUUUCUCUAUGAGAUCAAUGAGAACAUCACCUGCAAGCUAUGUCGGGGAUACCUCAUCGAUGCUACCACCAUUACAGAAUGUUUACACACAUUUUGUAAAAGCUGUCUCGUGAAGUACCUUGAGGAGAACAACACCUGCCCAACAUGUAGAAUACUUAUACACCAAAGCCAUCCACUUACAUAUGUAGGAUUUGAUCGGACGAUGCAGGACAUUGUCUACAAAUUAGUUCCAAAUCUACUUAAAAGUGAGGAGAGGAGAGAAAAGGAGUUUUAUGAAUCAUUUGGUAAAACAGAACCUGAAGAAAAACAAGACGAUCUACAAAACGACAUCACCAAAGAAGGGGACGACGACCAGCAUCGGAACGACGAACAGGUCAAGAUCGUCCUGGAAGAUUCCACCAACAAGCUCGGUCCACUCCGGAAAAAGUUCAUCCGUAUCUCUUCCCAGGCUACCAUCAAUCACAUCAAGAAAUUUGUUGCCAAGAAAUUACAAUUAGAUAAAUUUAAUGAGCUUGAUAUCCUAUGCAAUGAAGAGAUCCUGGGCAAAGAUCAUACGUUAAAAUUUGUCUGUGUAACAAGAUGGCGAGCAAGGAGUUUUCCAUUGAUGCUGCAGUACAGAUCAAGACAAGAGCUAUGACAGCAAGCCGCCGUCUUUCCCAAAGACAAGACUCUUUUGCUGCAAGAACUAGACCAACUUUGGA